AUUUAAUAGUACAAAAUGGCGAUGAAACUAGUGUAGUUUUGUGUCAAUCUUGGUGUGUUUUAGUGAGGUUUUUGUCUUCCGUCCACUCGUACUGUCCUUGUCGAGUAUUUUUACGUACUGUCUUGUACUUUAUCUUUGUAAUAUGGACGUAAGCUCUAUGGUAAAUGGUCAAACAGAGCCGAUAAAACUAUUUGUCGGCCAAGUACCUAGGAACUGGGAAACUGAACAACUUAGGCCGAUAUUUGAACCUUAUGGCGAGGUACAAGAGUUAUCUAUCUUGAAAGAUCGAGUUACUGGACAGCAUAAAGGUU